AGCGAACGCUGGCGGCAGGCCUAACACAUGCAAGUCGAACGAACCUUUCGGGGUUAGUGGCGGACGGGUGAGUAACACGUGGGAACGUGCCUUUAGGUUCGGAAUAACUCAGUGAAACUUGUGCUAAUACCGAAUGUGCCCUUCGGGGGAAAGAUUAAUCGCCUUUAGAGCGGCCCGCGUCUGAUUAGCUAGUUGGUUGAGGUAAUGGCUCACCAAGGCUACGAUCAGUAGCUGGUCUGAGAGGAUGAUCAGCCACAUUGGGACUGAGACACGGCCCAAAAUCCUACGGGAGGCAGCAGUGGGGAAUCUUGCGCAAUGGGCGAAAGCCUGACGCAGCCAUGCCGCGUGAAUGAUGAAGGUCUUAGGAUUGUAAAAUUCUUUCACCGGGGACGAUAAUGACGGUACCCGGAGAAGAAGCCCCGGCUAACUUCGUG
rnacentral:rRNA from 1 species